GAUGAACGCUGACAGAAUGCUUAACACAUGCAAGUCAACUUGAAUUUGGGUUUUUAACUUAGAUUUGGGUGGCGGACGGGUGAGUAACGCGUAAAGAACUUGCCUCACAGCUAGGGACAACAUUUAGAAAUGAAUGCUAAUACCUGAUAUUAUGAUUUUAAGGCAUCUUAGAAUUAUGAAAGCUAUAAGCACUGUGAGAGAGCUUUGCGUCCCAUUAGCUAGUUGGAGAGGUAACAGCUCACCAAGGCGAUGAUGGGUAGCCGGCCUGAGAGGGUGAACGGCCACAAGGGGACUGAGACACGGCCCUUACUCCUACGGGAGGCAGCAGUGGGGAAUAUUGGACAAUGGACCGAGAGUCUGAUCCAGCAAUUCUGUGUGCACGAUGAAGUUCUUCGGAAUGUAAAGUGCUUUCAGUUGGGAAGAAAAAAAUGACGGUACCAACAGAAGAAGUGACGGCUAAAUACGUGCCAGCAGCCGCGGUAAUACGUAUGUCACGAGCGUUAUCCGGAUUUAUUGGGCGUAAAGCGCGUCUAGGUGGUUAUGUAAGUCUGAUGUGAAAAUGCAGGGCUCAACUCUGUAUUGCGUUGGAAACUGUAUAACUAGAGUACUGGAGAGGUAAGCGGAACUACAAGUGUAGAGGUGAAAUUCGUAGAUAUUUGUAGGAAUGCCGAUGGGGAAGCCAGCUUACUGGACAGAUACUGACGCUAAAGCGCGAAAGCGUGGGUAGCAAACAGG
rnacentral:rRNA from 1 species